GCAUGCACCCUAAAAACAACUGUUUUUUUUUUUUCCUGUAAGAUCAUUCCCAUUGAAAUUGAGGAAAACAGUUGACAGACAGAUUGCAUGAAGACAUGCAUAACCUGGCAACCUCAUAGAACAGUUCGAUCAGUCCA